rnacentral:rRNA from 1 species
CGCGUAGGCGGUUGUGUAAGUCAGGUGUGAAAUCCCCCGGCUCAACCGGGGAACUGCACUUGAUACUGCAUGACUAGAGUACAGGAGAGGGAAACGGAAUUCCCGGUGUAGAGGUGAAAUUCGUAGAUAUCGGGAGGAACACCGGUGGCGAAGGCGGUUUCCUGGCCUGAUACUGACGCUGAGGCGCGAAAGCGUGGGUAGCAAACAGGAUUAGAUACCCUGGUAGUCCACGCCGUAAACGGUGAGUACUGGGUGUGGGAGGUGUAAUGCCUUCUGUGCCGAAGCUAACGCGUUAAGUACUCCGCCUGGGGAGUACGGCCGCAAGGUUGAA